UAUCUGGUUGAUCCUGCCAGUAUUAUAUGCUUCUGUCAAAGAUUAAGCCAUGCAUGUCUAAGCACAAAGUCCUAGUAUGAUGAAGCUGCGAACGGCUCAUUACAACAGUUAUAAUCUUUUUGAUGAAGUACGUACAAGGAUAUCUUUGAGAAUGUCAAAGCUAAUACUUGACGGUUUUCACCCCUUGUCGAGUCCAUUCCCUCUGGGAGUGUAAUCGAUGAGGGCGGGGGAUGCUUCACGUAUCCUCUACAUAUUACCACUUUUUUUUGAAUGAGGGUGGAAUAUAUGCCAAGAGAAUUGUAGAAAUCGAGAGAUUUUCACAAGUCAUCAUUAAGAAUAUCUGACCUAUCAACUGGUUGUUGGUAAGGUAGUGGCUUACCAAGGUGAUAACGGGUAACGAGGAAUAAGGGUUCGACAUCGGAGAGGGAGCUUUAGAGAUGGCUACCACUUCUAAGGAAGGCAGCAGGCGCGAAAAUUACCCAAUCUUAACAAAUGAAGGAGGUAGUGACGACAAUUAACGCUAUCCUCGUCUUUUGGCGAGGAUCGUCGGAAUGAUUUCGAUUUAAAAUAUCGAAAGAAAGCAAUUGGAGGGCAAGUCUGGUGCCAGCAGCCGCGGUAAUUCCAGCUCCAAUAGUGUAUUGUAAAGUUGUUGUGAUUAAAACGCUCGUAGUUGAAUGAAAACAAUCGGGACAUGAUUUACGAUCUCUCCUCCAUACGGUGGAUUCGUCCAUUAGGUCGAGUUGAUCAAAAAUCAAACAAUGUCCUACUAUAAGCGAGAGGGUGGAAUUAAUUCCAAACUCUUUUACUUUGAUUAAAUCAAGGUGCUUAAAGCAAAAUCUUCUGUUAACGAAUGAUGAAGCAUGGUAUAGAAUUAAAACAGAACAGAAAGAAUAACGAAUAAAUGGAGAUGGGCAACCAUUCGAAAUUUAUUUAUUUUUGUUUUGUUUAAAACAAGGUUAAGAGAAAUGAUUAGGGUGAUUUAGAUAGGAACGGGAGAGGUGGAAUUCCAUGAUCGUUUCGAGAUAAACGAGAGCGAAAGCAUUUCACUGAAUUCAUUUCAUUAAUCAAGAACGAAAGUCAGGGAAUCAAAGACGAUUAGAUACCGUCGUAGUCCUGACCAUAAACGAUGUCAACUAAGGAUUGGAUAAGAAACAUCGAAGUAUGAGCCUUUUUCUCCAACUUGUUGGAAAAAAAGCGUUUCGCUUCAUUUCUUCCCUUAUUCAGGACUUGAUGAGAAAUCAUUAAGUGAAUGGACUUCAGGGGGAGUAUGGUCACAAGGCUGAAACUUAAAGGAAUUGACGGAAGGGCACACCAGGAGUGGAGCCUGCGGCUUAAUUUGACUCAACACGGGAAAACUUACCAAGACCAAACGGUGUAAGGAAUGACAGAUUACUGGGUCUUUCAUGAUUCAUCGGGGAGUGGUGCAUGGCCGUUCUUAGUUCGUGGACUGAUUUGUCUGGUUAAUUCCGAUAACGAACGAGACUUGAACUUAUUAAUUAGUUGGGCAAGAAUCAUUUUCGGAUGAUUUUGCUUACCUCCGUAAGGUGGACUGGUGGAAUUAAAUUUCGCCUUUACUUCUUAAAGGGACACAUCUUUAAUCUUUUCGGGUGUUCAUUGGUUUCUUUGGGCUUUGCCCUUAGAUGAUAUGAAUACCUGAAAAAAAGAAGAAGGAAGCGUCAAGCAAUAACAGGUCUGUGAUGCCCUUAGACAUCUUGGGCUGCACGCGUGCUACAAUGAAAGUACUAACGAGUCCCCGUUGUCGGCAAUGGGUUGAGUCUUUCGGGACGUUGAUUCAUUGCUGGCAACAUUUUCCUAGGCCGAAAGGCCAAGGAAAGCUCUAAUGUCUUUUUUAAUUCUUGACUGGGAUGAAUGAUUGGAAUUAUUUGUUCUGAACAAGGAAUUCCUUGUAAGCGCAAGUCAUUACCUUGCGCUGAAUAAGUCCCUGCCCUUUGUACACACCGCCCGUCGCUCCUACCGAUUGAAUAAAGAGGUGAAAUGUCAGGAUUUUGGUGACUUGUCACUGGGAAAAUGAUAGUAAAUCUCUUUGUUUAGAGGAAGGAGAAGUCGUAACAAGGUUUCCGUAGGUGAACCUGCGGAAGGAUCA
rnacentral:rRNA from 1 species